rfam:Triticum aestivum genome assembly, contig: Triticum_aestivum_CS42_TGACv1_scaffold_640837_T_3AL-0.090971_7AS-0.064333
AUAGUACUCCCUCCGUCCGAAAAUACUUGUCAUUGAAAUGGAUGUAUCUAGAUGUAUUUUAGUUAAAAUACAUCUAGAUACAUCCAUUUCAAUGACAAGUAUUUUCGGACGGAGGGAGUACGUG